GAUGAACGCUGGCGGCGUGCUUAACACAUGCAAGUCGAACGAUGAAGCCCAGCUUGCUGGGUGGAUUAGUGGCGAACGGGUGAGUAACACGUGAGUAACCUGCCCUUGACUCUGGGAUAAUCCUGGGAAACUGGGUCUAAUACUGGAUAUGACUUCUCAUCGCAUGGUGGGGGGUGGAAAGAUUUAUUGGUGUUGGAUGGACUCGCGGCCUAUCAGCUUGUUGGUGUGGUAAUGGCUCACCAAGGCGACGACGGGUAGCCGGCCUGAGGGGGUGACCGGCCACACUGGGACUGAGACACGGCCCAGACUCCUACGGGAGGCAGCAGUGGGGAAUAUUGCACAAUCGGCGCAAGCCUGAUGCAGCGACGCCGCGUGAGGGAUGACGGCCUUCGGGUUGUAAACCUCUUUCAGUAGGGAAGAAGCGAGAGUGACGGUACCUGCAGAAGAAGCGCCGGCUAACUACGUG
rnacentral:rRNA from 1 species